rnacentral:tRNA from 1 species
GGGCUCGUGGUCUAGUGGAAUGACGCGGCGUUCGCAACGCCGAGGCCAGGGGUUCGAAUCCCCUCGAGUCCA